ensembl:ncRNA F56D12.8 ncRNA
UAGGAAAUUUUGGUCUGCUAGACUACAAACUACAAACUCUUAAUUAGCAGACC